rnacentral:misc_RNA from 1 species
AAGUCGUAACAAGGUUUCCGUAGGUGAACCUGCGGAAGGAUCAUUACCUAGAGUUGUAGGCUUUGCCUACCAUCUCUUACCCAUGUCUUUUGAGUACCUUCGUUUCCUCGGCGGGUCCGCCCGCCGAUUGGACAAACUUAAACCCUUUGUAAUUGAAAUCAGCGUCUGAAAAAAACAUAAUAGUUACAA